AGAGUGAACGCUGGCGGUAGGCCUAACACAUGCAAGUCGAACGGCAGCACGGUAAGAGCUUGCUCUUAUGGGUGGCGAGUGGCGGACGGGUGAGGAAUACAUCGGAAUCUACCUUUUGGUGGGGGAUAACGUAGGGAAACUUACGCUAAUACCGCAUACGCCCUUCGGGGGAAAGCCGGGGACCAGCAAUGGCCUGGCGCUGAUAGAUGAGCCGAUGUCGGAUUAGCUAGUUGGUGAGGUAAUGGCUCACCAAGGCGACGAUCCGUAGCUGGUCUGAGAGGAUGAUCAGCCACACUGGAACUGAGACACGGUCCAGACUCCGUACGGGAGCAGCAGGUGGGGAAUAGUUGGAACAAGUGGGGCGACAAGCC
rnacentral:rRNA from 1 species